GAUGAACGCUGGCGGCGUGCCUAAUACAUGCAAGUCGAGCGAACAGGCGAGGAGCUUGCUCCUCUGACGUUAGCGGCGGACGGGUGAGUAACACGUGGAUAACCUACCUAUAAGACUGGGAUAACUUCGGGAAACCGGAGCUAAUACCGGAUAAUAUAUUGAACCGCAUGGUUCAAUAGUGAAAGACGGUUUUGCUGUCACUUAUAGAUGGAUCCGCGCCGCAUUAGCUAGUUGGUAAGGUAACGGCUUACCAAGGCAACGAUGCGUAGCCGACCUGAGAGGGGGAUGGCCACCACUGAAAGUGAGCCACGGCCCAGACUCCUAGGGAAGGCAGAGGUAGGAAAUCUUCGGAAAUGGGCGAAAGCUUGACGAAGCAACGCGGCGUGGGUGAUGAAGGGCUUCGGUUGGUAAAACGCUGUUAUAGGGGAAGAACAAAUGUGUAAGUAACUAUGCACGUCUUACGGGAACCUAUCAGAAAGCCACGGCUAACUACGUG
rnacentral:rRNA from 1 species